rnacentral:lncRNA from 1 species
AGUGGUAGAGUAUAAAUUUUUUUUUCCCUCUAAUGUCUCCUUUUCUUACAAACAGUAACUAGUUCUCUUAACUUCCUGCCAGCCUUGUAAUUGCUGAGUGGUGCACUGUCAAAGCUGUGGCCCUUCUUCCCAGCCUGUGGCUGCCUUAUCAUACCACCACACGUUUUCAAAAUGGCAGCAACACAACACCUCCUCAACUUGCCGUCAUGAGAUAUUACCACAGGAACUGUGGCAAUACCCUCUUUCCUGCCUCAGCCUGUGGCCAUUAUGAAAUACCAUCAAAGGAAGAGGUUACUGCAGGAGCUAGCUGUCCACAGUGGUGGCCCCUCCUCACUAACCUCCCAAGCAGCUCAUGGGCCCAAUACAGGGAAAAGGGGAUGGGAAAAACCCUACCAAUUCCUCAAUGGGAAAACCCACCAAUCUUGAGUUCUCCAAGUUUAGAAUGUGAAAUCCCACCAAUCUUCACACUGGAAAUCUGCCCAGAAAAGUUCCACCCCCUGAGAAAUCCUGCCCUUUGUUCAAUCUCUGGGGUCCAUUUCCGGAAGCCACCUCUGGAUUUGUCCUUCCUCCUGGAUUUAUACUUCCAAUCUCUUUCAUGAUAUUUGCUUCCUGGUGUGACUCUCUCAUAGGCCAAGAAGCAAUGAAGACAAGGGAAGAAUUAAAGAAGAGGAGCAGAGGGGUUGGGGAUUUAGCUCAGUGGUAGAGCGCUUGCCUAGGAAGCGCAAGGCCCUGGGUUCGGUCCCCAGCUCCGAAAAAAAGAAAAAAAAAAAAAAAAAAGAAGAGG